rnacentral:lncRNA from 1 species
GUGAUUUUUAAAUGGAGGAUUUAUGUGGUGUUCCCUUGUAAUAGGUGUCGAUAUAUACUCUUCGCCUAAAAAAGUCUUAGUUUGCUAUUUUGUCAAUAAAUUUAAUUAUAUUGAGUAAAGGAAGGACAACACUAUUGGGUUAUUUCCUUUUAUGAUAACGAAAGUUCAUUGAGAUUUUAACUGUAAUGAUGAAUAUAAAUACAAGAAGAUUGAAUAAAAUAGGAGUCCAACCCAUUUUUAAAUAGAAUAAAAACAGUUUUUUUGUCCUACAGCCAAAUUUCAUCAACACUCCGACCCGAGUCGUUCGUGGUUCGAUCAAGCUAAAAUUUGGAGGAGAGGAUCACAAGACAUAAAGCUACAAUCUGAACGGUGGAGAUCCAAUUUCGUGUUAGGGAACAUUGGUUACUGUGCGUUUACAAGAACCAAAUUUUUUUUUUAGCAUAUUUUUCCUAUUUUCAUAUUGUUUUGUCGAGAUUGUUGUUAUCUUGAAGAAAUAUAAGUUGUGACUAAAGAAGACUUGGUGUACCCAUUAUUUGAUUUAUAGUGGAGGUCUUGACUAGGUCCCGUGCUUUUUAUUCUUCACAUCGAGGAAGUUUUUCUACGUAAAAUAAUCG